AUUUUAAUCUACAUAUUUAAUAAAGAAUGAAAAAAUGAGAAAACUCGAUGCUGGUGAAUUUUGUGAAAAUGGGCACUUACAAUGCUAGAGGUAUUGGAAUUAGUAUUAUUUUUCAGGAAAAUCAUUCAGUAAUAUUCAGAACUACCUUGAGUCAUUUAUAUUCUUCAACCCUGAAAUCCACUUUUGGGAAAAAAUUCAAGUAGAAAAAGGUUUAAUGCUGAGAUAAAACAACUGUUAGAAAGUAAACAACCUGGUACAGGUCCAACAGAAGAAUAACAUAUAUAUAACAAGAUUCUUUCUACCAUAUUAUCCUUCAAAAGAGAGGGCAUUAUAUUUGAGUUCUUAAAAAGUUUCUACAGUAUCAAGCCCUCUCAAUUAGUUUGAAUAAAAAAGUACUAUUCAGGAAAAACUAAUGCUACCUUUAAGUGACUUAAAAUGAUGACCACUUAAUGAACCUGCCCCACUCACCCCGCAAAAAGCAGAUAUUUAGUACUGAUUUAGUAAUUAUACAGAGAAUUAUACCUUUACGAUUUUAACUGACAAGUUUUUAAAAAUAGUGAUCAUAUUCAAAAGCAACAUCAUGAGACAACUAAAUUCUCCAGUCUCCUCUAGCCUCAGAUUUGUUACAUCACAUGCAAAAGGUCAUAACUUAACCUCCCUCCAAAACAGAUGAUAACAUAGUCAUUAUCUAAUCAUAUUUAUACCACUAGUCAAACACAUAAAUUUUUUUAGAUUGAAAAAGAAGAAGACUGGUUCAGCAUCUUACACUACAUUCCUCUGGUCUCAAAGAAUAAUUUAGGAUGUGUUGCCUCUAAUCCUAUAUUGUGGAACAGACUGUAGGGAAUUGGUAUUUCUUCUUUAAAUAUUUGGUAGAUCUACCUUGUGAAACCAGCAGGGCUGGGUACUUUCUGCUUUGAAAGGCUAUUCAUUAUUCUUUAAUAAAUGUAGAACUAUUCAAAUUAUCUAGUUCUCCUUGUAUGAAUUUUGAUAGGUGGCUUCUUUCAAGGAAUUUACAUUUUGUCUAAGUUAUCAAGUUUGUAGGCAGAGAGUUAUUCAGAAUGUUCCUGCCUACUGGAUCAGUAGUAAUGGCCCUCUUCAUGGUUAGUUUUUGGUUUCAAUGACUUCCUCUAUUGUUUUCCUAUGUUCAGCAUCACUGAUUUCUGCUUUAAUUUUUCUUUCUUUCCUUCUGCUUAUUAUGGAGAUAAUUUGCUCUUAUUUUUCUAGUUUCCUAAGGGAGAAAUUUAUAUUAUUGAUUUUAAAUCUUUCUUCUUUUCUAAUGUAGUAGUACUUUCCCACCCAUAGGGAAUGUGUUCCAAGACACCCAGUGGAUGUAUUUUGUGGCCCAGAAUGUGGUCUAUUUGUUGACUGUUUUGAAAAAUAGAAAUAAUUUUUAGGUCACAAAGUAAUACUUAUUUUACAUCAAUUACAAUUAUAUAGAUACAAGAUGUAAAAGGGUCAGGACACAGCUAUACUACUGUUAGAAGGAAUGGGUGGUAAUUGGUGCUUUGGAUAAAAUUUCCAACAAUCACAUUAUAUACAGAUUCAAAAUGUAUCACAUCUCAAUUAUGAGACAUGAAUGACUUAAAAAGUAACUCCAGUAGUAAUAAACUUUUGGCUUUAUUAUUUGGUUUUCGUAAAAUGUAAGUGAAAAAAAAUGUAUUUAUGCUAUGCUAUGUGAGCCUUCACUAUCUAAACCCAGAAAUCAAAAUGACUUAAAUAGAUAUUUUGAAGUAAGGCUGAGAAAAAGAUAACCCUUCCUAUUUAAACUUGCUACUCAAAGUCAAACAGAAUUAGAUAGUAAGGAUUACAUAUCUUUCAUAUAAUGAUAUUUAUAAAUAAAUAGAGCAAACAUCUUAAUUUUGAUUAAUAUAUCUACCUCUCUAAAACGAAGAUAGUGGUAGGAAGGGAGGGCAGAUUCUCUUUGGAAAAACCGAGUAUUAUUUUGUAUUCAGGAUACAUAUAGUAGAUUUUUAUUACGAAAUAUAAUGCUUUAAAAGGAACAUUAUAUUUCAUGGGAGGAGUUCACAAAGUUCUUUAUACUACAUAAUCUCUACUGUUGAAAAAGAAUGCCUACUAAAAAGACUAAAAAUCUUCCUAAAUGUAAUAAUUGAAUAAUGAUUUUUUAUAUCUCUAAUUUUCUCUACAAACAUAUUUUUCAUGCUGUCAUCUUAUUUCAUUUGUAGUCAGAAAAAUAUACAAGAGUAAUUUUAAUACAAUGUAAGUACUACAGUAGAGGUAUAAAAAAGCUUAAUACUGGUAUCAAUUCUUUUGAGAAGUUCAAGUUCUAUAAAGAAAAGAUGGUUCACAUAUAGCCUAAUAUAAUAUAGCAACAGUUUAUCAAGAAAAGGAUAUAUAGCACUUGCAAUUGUCAAAAUGUGAGAACUAGCAUGUACCACUGGAGGAACUUAAUUAGUUUCAUAUGACUACAAUACAAGUUAUAAGAAUGGUAGGUGGAGUAGGAGAAAUAAGUUUACACACACGUUAGGGCCAGAUGCUAUAUAAAAAAGUCCAGAGUUUUCAGAAAUGAAGAAAACCUAAGUCUAACCAUUCUAGGCUAAGUUAUUUCAAUGUUUAAUCCCAAGUAAAACAUGACCUAUAACAAUUAUAUUUGGACACUUUUCUUUAACUGCUUAAAUAACCAAACUAAUUCUUCUCCUUUAAAAUGAAACUAGAAACAGGAAUUUCUUGCCUAUGGUAGGGGAGAGGUUAGCAAAUCCAACUUCUCAAGAAACAACUAUAAAACUGAACACAGUCCUCAAAUACAACCAUCCUGGGGCAAUUAAGUUGAGAAGUGUAUUUUUAUGAAAACCAUCUGAACUGAGCUUGGGAAUUUGUGGUGCCCUUGCCUGAAGCAACUCCCACCAGCUCCACCCCUGCUCUGUUGUUAUGGAAGUUCACAAAGGACAAGCCUGGCUAUAAAAAACCAACAGCUUGACUACUGGAAGAGGCAAAGCUGACUGGGACCAAGUGUGAAAAACUCUAAUAGAGCACUGACAGUAAAAAUAGCAAACUUGUCAGAAAACACACAGGAAAGGACAGCAGCUAUGCUAGCCUUAGGUUGCAGUUUUGGUAGAGUUGAACUAUAUAGACUGAAGGACUAAUUAGAAAUUUAACAAAAAGAUUCUGGAAAUGAGAGAUGCAUAGAAGGGCUACAUAAGCUCCCUACACAGCCUUUGUUGACUGGGAGGCUAAACAAACUUGUGGGAUACACAAAAGGGCCUAGUAGAAAGUAAAAUGUGAGGCCAACUUGAAAACAGCUUGGAUUUUAUGUAUACUCCCAAGUCAACACACAUCUGAUGGCAGAGGGUAGAAGCCUUACUGGCUCCACAGGUGUUUCAGCACAACCUGUCUUAUCACUGACCACUAAAGCCAUGCUAAACACAGAUAUGAACCCCAGAAAAACUAACCAAAAAGUAAAAAAAAA